AAUCUUAAAAAGAUGCAUUACAAGGGUCUCUGUCACCUCUCAUUUCUCACACUUUUUUGUUGUCCCAGCCUUGAAUGCUUACCAGCGGAGGGUCUCCCCAAAUCCAUCUCUUCUCUUACAAUAUGGAAUUGUCCAUUGCUGGAGGAGCGUUGUCAUAAUCCAGAUGGCGAAGACUGGGAAAAGAUUGCUCACAUCCAAAAACUGAAACUGGAUCAUGUGGUGAUACGAUGAGUCACAAGGCGUGCACCUAUUUCAAUUUGUCUGCCACCUCAACAGGUUCUAAUUCUCCACAAUAUCUUUCUACCUUUUCCAUUACAAUUUUCUUAGUUGCAAACGGUAACCCUAUAAUUGCCAUUUUCCAAACAAAAGCAGCACAUGUUAUACUUAAACUCUUGAUAUUUAUUAAAGGAGGUUCAACUACGUUUUUCAUGAAUCAAUUACUUUUAUUUUAUUCUUAUUUUUGUGCAAAAUUAUUUCAAUUGUUCUGUUGAAAUUAAAUUCCAACCAAAUGUGUUUCCUAAUUUUAGAAUCCUACGAAAAUCGUGAAGGUGGUCUGGCAUUUGGCAUCCAUUCCGAAGAGAGUAUUCUGUAGUUGGAAGUUAUGGUAGCGUCAUCUUCAUUUAUCUAAGUAUAUUUGUUUUCAUAGCCCAUUUUUUGCCUUCUUUCUUCUUACUUCAUGCUACUACAGUUUCUAACAAAAAAAUGAAGUUAAACUUUAAUAAUAGAUCACUGGAACUAAAUGAUCCAAAAAAUUAAGUUAUGUGUUUUGAGUGGAGGAAAGAUGAAUGGAAACUGCAGUGGACAUAAGGGAUCUAAGGAACUUGUAAUUGGAAUUUAAAAGUAUUUUUAAACCACUUUUUACUGUAUUAAAAAGCUCUUGUGAUAUUCCAUCAAGAUUUUUAAACAUUAAAAGAAGUCUUAUGGUGUUCAAUCAAGACUGAGUUUUACAGAAAAAAAUAGUAAUAGAAAUAGCUUGAAUAUUGUUCAGAAUAUUCAGGGCUUCGGCAUUUCCCAGCAUGCAGGACUGAAAAUUUAUUAUGCUAAUGUAUCGAUGAUGUGUUGACUUAUCUUUUGUUAGGUUUUGAUUUUAAAUUAAUGAUUUAAUUGGAAGACAAGAAGCUUUACUAAUCAAACAUUCAUACUAUCUUUUUUUACAGUAUCUAUUCUAUAUCUGGAGGAAGUAGAAGAGACCCUCUUCAGAGAUCUUACUCUUAACCUCAUUGGCAUUGAUGUUUCUCCUCUGCAUCUUUGUAGUACCUUUUUCUUCAUGCCCUUACAAUCCAGUGGAUGUGUGUAUCAUAAACUAAUAACUAAUUAGAUUGUAAUGACUAACUAUAUAAAGAUAACCUUUGCAACACUUAUACCAAAUGAGGUUCGUAUAAAUUUAACCAAAUUCACUACUUGCUUACUCUAAACACAUCUGAGUGUGAGUAAAUCUCUGUUUUUUGAAUUUGGUUAUCUUGAAUGUUUAUUAGAUAUAAGAUUAGAACCUUUAAUUUCUGCUAUGAGGCUUUGAUGGGAUGUUGGGAAAAGUUCCAUAUUGCUUGUCUCAAGUCUUAAUGUGAAAUGCUUUUAAGCUGAAAUCUAACAUGGUACAAGAUUCUAUAGCUCAUUUGUGUUUAACUACAAUAAAGUCAGACAAUUUUCUUAAAAGAGGGUCCAAUGAACAAGGCCAUACAUCCAUCCAAGUAACAACAACAAGAAACCGUUUGUAAGCGUUUUAAAACUGCAACCAAUUUGUUUCAGCAAAAAGUUUAAAACGAAGAAAAACCAAGAGAACCUGAAACUUAGACGAUAUGAGAUAAAGCCACUUAAAACGCAAAUAUGCAUCAACAAAAGCUAAGUAAUACCGAGAUCAUUAGACGAAUUGUAUGGAGAAGGGCCUAAUAUAUAAAAAAAACAACCUCAAACAGACAAAAGUAAACAAUUUCAGCAUCAUGAAAAGGAGGUUGACGAUGUUUAGAAACACAACAAUUUUCAAAAAAACAGAAGAUCAAGUACAUGGAAUUGUUUCAUUAUUCUAGUCACAGUGUUAUAGAUAGCAUGACCAAGGCGAAUAUGCUAUAGCUACAACUUCUGAAAAUAUUCUUCAACAUUUUCCUAGUAACUUCUUCCUAAAACAAAUGCAAAGUCUUUUGAGUUGCUGGUAAAAUCUUUUUAAUAUCUUUAAUAUCGCCGUCAAUAGAACACACUAUAUUUCCACUGCCAAAACAUAUCGUAUUUAUUUAAGAAUAGAUAAUAUCUUAAAAUAACUCUAUCCAGCUUUAUAAGACCCUUUAAGUAUCUCACAUCUUAUUUCAUUCUCUCCGUAUUUACACAAACAUAACUAAUCAAACUACCCUGGAAAUUCAUAAACAAAGUGUAAAUAUUAUAAAAUAGAAUCGAACAACAUAUUAAGAAACAAAUUGGAUCAUUAAAAAAAAAAACAUAGACAUAAGAUGGGUAUUUUUUUUUUAAUAAACUCAAACAAAGUUAUCAAUAUUAUAAAAUACCCUAAAAUCACGAAACUAUAUAAUUAAUUACUAAAACAAACAAAACCUUGUUUGCAUAUAUAGUAUUUUAAUCACACUAUUACACAUUGAAAACACCACAACAUUAUUCAAAUUAUGCUUAAGUAUAAUAUAUCUGAUGCGGAAAAUAUAUAUAUAUUUUUUUUAUAUUCUGAAGUUAGAGAAUAUCAAAGCAAUUAAAGUUUAAGAGGCAUAUAUAAAAUUACUACGCAUAUUUGUUUAUUGCAUCUUAUUGUGAGACAUCCAUUCAUGGAUUACAGCUGUGAACAUUUUUUUUAUCAGAAACCGUUGAUGGGAAUAUUGGUUCCUUACAGCUGUGAAUAUUGGUUGAGUAGCCAUCAAAGACAAAGAUUCCUUGCACUUAAUCACUGAACAUUUCAAAUCACACACUUCCAUUCUCUUCAUUUCCAACUCAUUCCUACCAUGGCAGCAGAACUUGUUGGUGGUUCUCUUCUUUCGGCCUUUCUUCAGGUUGCAUUCGACAAGCUCGCUUCUCCUCAACUUCUGGACUUCUUUCGUGGAAGAAAACUUGAUGAGAAGCUCCUUGGAAAUUUGAACAUCAUGCUGCACUCCAUCAACGCUCUAGCUGAUGAUGCUGAACUAAAGCAGUUCACAGAUCCACACAUCAAAGCAUGGCUUUUUGCUGUCAAAGAGGCUGUCUUUGAUGCAGAGGAUCUUUUGGGUGAAAUAGACUAUGAACUCACCAGAUGCCAAGUCGAAGCUCAAUAUGAACCUCAAACCUUUACUUACAAGGUAUCAAAUUUUUUCAACUCUACUUUCACUUCAUUUAAUAGGAAAAUUGAAUCAGGGAUGAAAGAAGUCUUGGAAAAACUAGAAUAUCUUGCAAAUCAAAAGGGUGCUCUUGGUUUGAAGGAGGGUACUUAUUCUGGUGAUGGAUCAGGUAGUAAAGUGCCAUCAUCUUCUUUGGUGGUUGAAAGUGUUGUUUAUGGCAGAGAUGCUGACAAAGAUAUAAUCAUUAAUUGGCUCACAUCUGAAACUGACAAUUCUAACCAGCCAUCAAUACUUUCCAUUGUGGGCAUGGGUGGGUUGGGUAAGACCACACUUGCCCAACAUGUGUACAAUGAUCGAAAUAUCGAAGAUGCAAAAUUUGAUAUCAAAGCUUGGGUCUGUGUUUCUGAUCAUUUUCAUGUUUUGACAGUGACAAGAACAAUUCUUGAGACUGUCACUGAUAAAACAGAUGAUAGUGGGAACCUAGAAAUGGUUCACAAAAAAUUGAAAGAAAAAUUGUCAGGAAGGAAAUUUCUUCUUGUUUUGGAUGAUGUUUGGAACGAAAGACGAGAAGAAUGGGAAGCUGUGCGAACUCCUCUUAGCUAUGGGGCUCCAGGAAGUAGAAUUCUUGUCACAACUCGUAGUGAGAACGUUGCUUCUAACAUGAAGUCCAAAGUGCAUCGCCUAAAGCAAUUAGAAAAGGAUGAAGGCUGGAAUGUUUUUGAAAAUCAUGCAUUAAAAGAUUAUGAUCUUGAAUUGAAUGAUGAGUUCAAGGAGACUGGUAGAAGGAUAGUUGAGAAGUGCAAUGGAUUGCCUCUAGCUUUGAAAACAAUUGGAAGUCUUUUACGCAAAAAGUCAUCCAUUUUAGAUUGGAAAAACAUAUUGAAAAGUGAGAUAUGGGAGUUACCAAAAGAAGACAAUGAAAUUAUCCCUGCACUAUUUUUGAGCUAUCGCUAUCUUCCUUCUCAUCUUAAAAGUUGCUUUGCUUAUUGUGCCUUAUUCCCCAAAGAUUAUACGUUUGUGAAGGAGAAGUUAAUUUUAUUGUGGAUGGCCCAAAAUUUUCUAGAAAGUCCUCAACAGAUUAGACAUCCAGAACAAGUUGGUGAAGAGUACUUCAAUGAUCUACUGUCACGGUCUUUUUUUCAGCAAUCAAGUGUCGGGAGAAGUUUCGUCAUGCAUGACCUUCUGAAUGACUUGGCAAAAUAUGUUUGUGCAGAUUUCUGUUUCAGGUUGAAAUUUGAUAAAGGCCAAUGUAUACCGAAAACAACCCGUCAUUUUUCAUUUGAAUUCCGUGACAUCAAAAGUUUUGAUGGUUUUCAGAGUUUAACUGACGCUAAAAGACUUCGUUCAUUUCUUCCUAUCUCAAAAUAUGUGACAUCUCAAUGGCGUUUCAAGAUUUCGAUACAUGAUUUGUUCUCCAAGAUUAAGUUUAUACGCAUGUUAUCUUUCCAUGGUUGUUCAGACCUUAGAGAAGUCCCGGAUUCUGUAAGUGAUCUUAAACAUCUCCAUUCGUUAGAUCUUUCGAGUACUGCGAUACAAAAGCUACCUGACUCGGUAUGUUUGCUCUAUAACUUACUAAUACUGAAGUUGAAUGAUUGUUCAGAGUUGGAGGAGUUGCCCUUAAAUUUGCAUAAACUUACCAAAUUGCGUUGCCUGGAAUUUAGAUAUACAAAAGUGACAAAGAUGUCAAUGCAUUUUGGAGAAUUGAAGAAUCUUCAAGUAUUGGAUACGUUUAUCGUCGAUAGGAAUAGUGAAGUCAGUACUAAAGAGUUGGGAGGACUCGAUCUUCAUGGAAUGCUGUCAAUUAAAGAGGUGCAGAAUAUUGUGAAUCCUUUGGAUGCAUCAGAAGCAAAUUUGAAAGAUAAACACCUUGUGGAGUUAGAAUUAGAAUGGAAGUCAGACCACAUCCCUGAUGAUCCAAGGAAAGAAAAGGAAGUACUUCAAAAUCUACAACCCUCCAAACACUUGGAGGAUUUAAAAAUCUGGAACUACAAUGGUACAGAAUUCCCAAGUUGGAUAUUCGAUAAUUCGUUAUCAAAUCUGAUGUACUUAAAGUUGGAGGACUGUAAAUACUGCCUAUGUUUGCCUCCCCUUGGACUUUUGUCAUGUCUGAAGAACCUUAGUAUUACAGGGCUUGAUGGAAUAGUGACCAUUGGUGCUGAAUUUUAUGGGACCAACUCUUCGUUUCCAUCCUUGGAGAGUCUGACAUUCAAAAAUAUGAAGGAAUGGGAAGAGUGGGAGUGUAAAACUACUUCUUUUCCACGUCUUCAAGAGCUUUUUGUGGAUAAAUGUCCCAAACUGAAAGGUACUCAUAAAGUAGUUGUUAGUGAUGAGCUCACAAUUAACGGAAACAGUACAUCGCUGCUUGAAAUCCUGCAUAUUGAUGGAGGCUGCGACUCGCUUACAAUCUUUCGGCUAGAUUUCUUUCCAAAACUCAGUUUACUUUGGCUGGAAAAGUGCCAAAACCUAAGAAGAAUUUCACAGGAGUCCGCUAAUAAUCAUCUCGUAGAACUAUAUAUGGACGAUUGCCCUGAAUUUAAAUCAUUCCUGUUUCCCAAACCCAUGCAAAUCAUGUUUCCGUCCCUUACCAGGCUGGAGAUAACUAAUUGUCCAGAAGUUGAGUUGUUCCCAGAUGGAGGUUUGCCAUUAAAUAUAAAAGAAAUGACUCUUUCAUGUUUAAACCUUAUCGCCUCCUUGAGAGACAACUUGGAUCCCAACACAUGUCUUCAACACUUGUGUAUUGAACAUUUGGAGGUGGAGUGUUUUCCCGAUGAAGUUUUGCUGCCACGCUCUCUCACCUCUCUGCAAAUCUAUGAUUGCCCAAAUCUUAAGAAGAUGCACUUGAAGGGUAUCUGCCACCUCUCCUCUCUCGCACUUUAUCAUUGUCCCAGCCUUGAAUGCUUACCAGCGGAGGGUCUCCCCAAAUCCAUCUCUUCUCUUACAAUCUCGUAUUGUCCAUUGCUGAAGGAGCGUUGUCGGAAACCAGAUGGAGAAGACUGGGGAAAGAUUGCUCACAUCCAAAAACUGGAUGUUCGAUCAUAAGACGAGUCACAAGUUCAAAAUUAGACGUGCACCUAUUUCAAUUUGUCUGCCAC
rnacentral:lncRNA from 1 species